rnacentral:misc_RNA from 1 species
UCUCUCUCUCUCUCUCUCAUAACUUUAAGAAUUCAAGAGCAACUCUAUGCAAGCUUCUUCAUGGAGGAUAACAAAUCAAAAUUUCAAAAGCAGAAACACGAGGACUCAAAGUAGUGCCAUGGUAGCAGCUAUUGUCGAUGGUGCCAUGGAUGUAGCUAGCUAGCUUCAACGACAAGAGGGGAUUUUGGGUAGGAUGGAUCGAAGGGG